AUGUUAUCAAGAAAGGUGGAGGGAUUAGACCCUAUGAAACCUUAGCAACCCUUUGUGCAAACAAAGAAGGUGCUAAAUUCUACCAGAGCGUAAAAACUCGUGGAUAGAUAACCC
rnacentral:ncRNA from 1 species